rnacentral:tRNA from 1 species
UCCCUGGUGGCUCAAACGGUAAAGAAUCUGCCUUCAAUGCAGGAGACUCAGGUUUGAUCCCUGGGUCGGGAA